UAUAUGACCAGACCUGGCAAACGUGCGGGUUGGGUAAUCCGCGGGUCGGUCAUUAUACCAGCGGGUUACUUGGACAUGAAUAAAAUUUACCCAUAAAUUUUUGGGUAGCCAACAUCUUUAUCCAUACCCGCCCGCGGGUGGGCGGGUGGGUAUGCUGGUUACCCGUAAUUUUUUUUUCUUUUUUUCUCUUACAUUUUUUAAAUGUAAAUACAUAUAUGUAAGUUUUAAAAAUAUAAAAUAACUCAUUAUUUAAAAUAUCAUAACAUACAAUAAAAAUAUUUAAAGCAUUAAAGCAAAAAAAUUUUGUAAUAUAAAAGACGCGAUAAGAAAUUAGGGUUAGAAUUUUUACGAUAGAUAAAUAAAAAUAUAUGUAUUUUAAUUAAGAAAAUAUUUUUUUGAUUAAAAAAAUAUAUGUGCGGGUAUCCGUGGGUACCCGCAGAUUACUCAAAAUGCCCACAGUUUAAUGGGUA
rnacentral:lncRNA from 1 species